rnacentral:lncRNA from 1 species
AGCAUGUUAUUCACGACCUAAAAUCACUAGAUACCGCUCAGGUUCAAGAGCACUGUCCUGCGUUCAAAGAUGGUUGCCCGUUUGCAAAGACAGACGAGAAAGUUUUAACCGAAGCAAUUGAAAAGUGUCCUGAAUUCAAAAAUGGCUGCCCUUUCAAAGGUGCGAAAAGUCUUGCUGAAGUUUACGAGAAGUUGUCUCAUGUUCCACAUGCAGGCCAUGUGAAAGAAGUGUCUGGCCAGAAAUUGGUGGAAAUGUUAAAGAAAAUGCACAGCACUUCGGAAUGUCUGGAAAAGAAGUUAGGAGAUUGUCCUGUGUUUCAUAAAGAUGACGGUUGCCCGUUUAAAAGUGUCCGUAGUGAAGGGAAACAUUUAGUGGAUCCAGUGGACUCCGUUGCUCAUAACUAGGUAUGAUGUCCCACUAUCCCCCAUGUUAACCAACGUUAUUAUAUAUUCAAAGUCUAUUCUCGUCUUAUUAUUCCCUCCACUUAUUAUUCCACUUAGUCAAAGUCCAUUCUCGUCGGGUGGAUAACACAAUCCUGGGCCUUGAUAAUUCUCGAUAUCAUACGAAAACCGAAUUGUUUAUUAUCUUGGUUCCCUGCAUGCCGUAAUUACGAAUAGAUGUUGUUUUUAUUAAUGUUGUUAAUAUCUUAAAUAAAUUAGUGAAUUUAUUUACAGAAUAAAUUAUAUUAAGUGUUUGAUAAUCGAAGUUUGAUGUUCGAUGGCACUUUCGCCUGUUUCGGCGGUAAUGGUCAUCGAAAAUUGCGAGGUCUGCCGCUUCCAUUUACUCAGGAUGCUAUGGGAUAGUUCUAUUUCGGCCUUCAAAGACUUUUGAAUGUAAAAACUGUUCACACUCUUCCAUCGAACAAAGUCCAAUGUGCACACCAAUGGGUUUGAUUUUUAACUUUCUGCAUCAACAUCGCGUAUAUUUGCCUUUCCCAGAAUGCACUGCGGCCCAUUUUACUUUCAGACCCCGUUUGCACGACACAUUUUUGUCCCAAAAAUUUUGUGACAGAUAUUACUUUAUUUUCAGAAUUCAGGUUCAAACAGUUCACUUUUCUCCCACUGUAAUCCCAAGUGACUACUUACCUAAAACCUCUUGUAAUUAUAACUACAAUUCUGUUGCUUUAUUUCAGAGAUUUGAAUGAUGCUAACUUCUAUGGUUGGAGUGAUUCCGAAAUUAAAGUAGUGUCGAAUUUCUUGAUAGAUUCACUGGAAUAUGAAACUUACAAAUAUUUAAAAAUUUCUGUUGCUGUCUUUAGAAGUUAUUUUUGCUUUUUUGUACAUUUUUACAAAGUCGCAUUUAACAUACAGUAGAAACAACAACUAAGUCACGCGCGAAUCAUUAUUUUUUCACAUUCACAACUGAAUGAAUAAGCUCAUUUUAACUUUACUGACUUGGUCAAACGAGGAGACUCAUCGUUACAGGUGACAUUUUGAUAUCUAGAUUAAUAAAAUAAAGGUUUGAUGAGUGUUUUAACUUAAAUAAAACAUGAUGGUGUUGAGAAAGCAUUAAGAACAGCUAACCAAGGUCGCGUGAUUGUCAACCCUCAUAUACUCUCAUUAGUCGCUGGGGAAGCUGUGCCGCCAGCUACUAUAGGUUUUAGCUUCGGCGUUUCGACCUUUAGUUACUAUUUUUAGUAACUGGAAGGACACAAAUCGGAAAAAACCACUGAUCUCAUAGUAGGUGGAUGUACUGUAGCUUGUAAAAUGCGUGCUGAAAACGAGAACCAACGUGAAUUCUCGCAAAUUAAAGAUACUUUGCGAAAGUGUACUGGGCCGAUCAAUCCACCACGAAGAAAAAAUGUUGUGUUAGUGCGUUAGAUUGCUCUAAAAUAUUUCCAUUUGUAUUCGUUCAAUGUUGUCCCUUUGGGCAUAUAGCAUUGGCAAGGCAAUUUCUAUUUUGGUUUCCAAAUAAGGCAGCAAGCAACUACUUUUACAGGAAAAUCAGUAAUAUCGUGUUGUUAGUUGCAUUUAAUUUUGAUCGACAACUCAUCUUUAUUCUUAUUAUAAAGCCUUUUACAAAUACAUGUCUUCAGUGUAAAGUCUGUUAUUUAUCAGUACUAGUACUUGUUUUUAUUCAUUGCACUAACGAAGUCGAAGCCAACGUUAAUAAAGCGUUCUGUAAAGUGAAUUUAUAUUAAUAUUGCAGUUGAAAUUUGAGUCAAGUAUAUCACAGUGUAGACACGUAUACGUAUAUAAUUAUGUGGUGGCCGGACAUUUUGCCGAAAUACAUUUUGCCGAAAGUGAAUUUUGAACAAUGUACUUAUAUAAUACUUCAUUAAUGAGAACUUUUCAACUUUUGCACCAUGUGCAAACACUUGCCCUUUCAGGAACAAAAAAGCGUUCACUUACCCAGGAGUGUGGAAUAAAGUGGUCGGGGGGAUGGAGUUAUUUACUUAUUUCUAGAUUUUACAUUAUCAUGACAUAAUAUGCAUGGAGUCAUUAUAUAGAUAACAUUUCAGAAGUUGGAAAGUUAUAAUUCGCCUAGAAAUGUAGGUGCAUUUUGCCUGCAUUACUAAGAGG